GGGGUGAAAAGAACAAAGUUUUGUCCAUCUUUGUUCAUCAUAGCUGAAAGUUAGAGAAGAUAAAGGAGAGGAGAAAACUCUUGAGUACUCGGUCACUAGGAGGAGGAAAAUUGAAGGCGGUUCGUGUGUGGAUCUCGUCAGCAUAUUGUCGCAAACAGGAAAUCCCCAACCAUAGUGGGCUUGGAGCUGUGAGGGAAUUCGGAGUGGCCACCCGUUCUGAAAGUUUGAUUUUCUUCUGGUGAACUGGACAUCCUUUUAUUUACGUUUGAAGUUUUGGGUUUUUAAAUGUAAUGAGGCCGCUUAAUUAUUUUUGAUGGUUUUAAUAUGUAUUACUAAGAUAGGUAUUACUUA